rnacentral:tRNA from 1 species
CAAAAUGUAGCUUAACUAAAGCAUCUUGCUUACACCAAGAACAUGUCCGUUUAACUCAGAUCAUUUUGA